rnacentral:rRNA from 1 species
UACGAAGGGGGCUAGCGUUGCUCGGAAUCACUGGGCGUAAAGCGCACGUAGGCGGAUUGCUAAGUCAGGGGUGAAAUCCUGGAGCUCAACUCCAGAACUGCCUUUGAUACUGGCGACCUUGAGUCCGGGAGAGGUGAGUGGAACUGCGAGUGUAGAGGUGAAAUUCGUAGAUAUUCGCAAGAACACCAGUGGCGAAGGCGCUCACUGGCCCGGUACUGACGCUGAGGUGCGAAAGCGUGGGGAGCAAACAGGGAUUAAGAUACCCUGAGUACGACGAACAACCGA